GUUGCUGGAGUUCAGCUUAGGGAAGGAGGACUCUGAGGAGGCCCCGAGCGGCGGAGCGCUUCGGGGGAGGCGCCCGCGCAGACGCGAGGCCCAUAGCCAGGACCACCACCUAGCUGUUCUACAGUCUGGGGACGACGGUUUAAAAAUUUAUGCCUUGCAUGCGAUGUGCAGUGGGUGAUGGAAGAACGUCUACAUGGCUUUAAAAUUGGAUUUAAAAGGCAAAUAUUUUAAAUGAAGGAAAACCCAAGAAGUUUACUUGAUUCCUUAUCUUCCAGGAUGCGACUUUUGUUUAUUUAUUUAUUUUAUUUUGAUGGAGUCUCGCUGCCGUCGCGCAGGCUGGAGUGCAGUGACGCGAUCUUGACCCGGGAACCUCCACCUCCCGGGUUCAAGCGAUUCUCCUUCCUCAACCACCCGAGUAGCUGGGAUUACAGGCGUGUGCCACCAUGCCCGGCUAAUUUUUGUGUUUUUAGUAGAGACCGGGGAAGGUAUGGGCCCUCUUUUGAGAAAAAUGCAGAGUGACACUGAAUUUUGUAACUACAUCAGGAGGCUCUUGAACCUUCUGCAGCUCACUCGUGGAGUUUGUAGAGAUGCGUAAUAAUCCGAAGUGUUAAGGAAGAAGGUUCUGUUGAGAAAAAGUUGGAGGGCUGAAAGGGAUGCCUUUCGCUAUUUCGACAUGUGUGGCUGUACCCCAGAGUGCCCUGGCUAACACGCAAAACCAUGAAUUAGGCGGCUUGGCGAGGCUCAGUGGAGGCUGGGGCCGAGAGUCAUGUCAAAGUUUGUGGGGUUAACCUGCACCCAGUGACAGUCAUGGCGAAGUUUGUGAGGUUAACUCGCACCCAGUAACGCUGUUCCAAUGCAAGGUGUGUAUUUGGUGUCAUCCACGGGAAGAGGAAACAGCAAAUUUUCUCAUGGCCUUGGCAGUUCCACAUGAUGGACAUUUCAUAUCUGCAGUUUUCUUCGCAUGAGAUGGCUUUUUUGCACAAAAACACUGGAAUCCAGUGAGCAAGAAUGAUAGAAUGCAAGAUGGAUUUCCACAUGAGGAAGUGUCACGAACAAGCGUUUUGCAUCUCUGUCAGCUGGAUUCCCCCAUGUGUACGUAUGUGAGAACAUGCCGUGUUUCCUGUCUGUAAUGGUAGAGGCAGCCCUGAUACUGGAUUUUCACCUGAGGAUGGAUAGAUCUUCAGGGUUCAAGUGGGUUUGCAUCUGGACUUUAGGGUGGCCCUGUAGGCCCUGUGUGAGAAGCCCCCUUCCCAGUGAACUUUCCCUUGUGUGCCCGCGUGGACAGCCAACAGGGGGAGCAGUGCGAGCGUGAAGGCAGACAGUGGCCUGGCCCAGUCUGAUGGUGCAGAAGCUGAGCUGCAGAGGCGUUAGGUACCUGCCUCAUAAGUGGUAGAGACUCCAGUGUCACCCUGCCCCUCACGUUCGGAGCCCCCGAGGGAGGGUCUGCCGGGCAGCUCAGCCCAGCACUCUGUAAGGAAAUCUUCAGUGCCACUGCCCAGGAUGUCUUCCCGGGGAUUGGGCCUGAAUGUCUUGACCAUGCCGUGCUGGAGGGAGAGACCCACCGACCCUGUGGGGCUGGUCCCUACAUCUGGCGCUCUGACGUGGGGCUCUCCCUCGCUGUGUGAAGUUGCACCCUGAGUGCGGGAUCAGCGGAGGAGUUCAACGAGAGAUUCCUGAGGAUUGCAGUCUAUAAACUUGGUGGGGUUUUGUUUGUGUUUCCCCAGGAAAAGAACUACAGCCUGUGUGGGUCCCCUCCCGACAAUUAAAAUUGCACCAUAACUCCAAAGAUGAAACGCUCCCAGAAAGAAAAGGCAAAGACCCAUCGGAAACAAAAGAGCAACUUUCACCGCCUGAUACAUACACUUCAUGACAUCCACAUUGAGACAAAAUCUCGCCGUGUGACCUACAACACCUCUCGUUCAACCCCACCUACUUGGGGUCGAAUACAGAUUUUAUCUCAUCAAACAGAAAAAUUCUUAACAGAAAAAGGAAUCCCAAAAAUGACUGGUAAUAUAAUUCUGGCUGCCUUUAUGGUAGUCAGUGCAGCGGUAAGUAUACCACCGGUCGGGGCAACUCAAAAUUAUACUUAUUGGGCAUAUGUUCCUUUUCCCCUUCUAAUUCGGUCUGUCUCCUGGAGGGACUCUCCAGUAGAAGUUUACACUAAUAAUAGUGCAUUCAUGCCGAUCCCUAAUGAUGAUCGGUUUCCAGCUCAACCGGAAGAAGAAGGUAUGCACUUUAAUCUGUCAAUUGGCUAUAAAUAUCCACCAUUAUGUAUUGGGAAGUCGCCUGGUUGUUUAGCUUAUUCUUAACAGAAUUGGAUGUGGACUGUACCGUCCUUUACAAAUGAUUCUUAUCAAGUAUAUAAUGUGUUCAGUACUAACUCUUUUCAACUUCUCACUGUCAAACGUACCCCACAUGAGGCAUGGAGAGUUCCUCUCACUACCAAAACUAAUAAAACAAAAGGACUGCCGGACUGUCCAAAGAAACCUACAAAUGGGCCUUUUAUAGUGACUUCAAUUUUAUGGGAUAAUUGUAAUGCUCCCAAGGCUGUUGUACUCCAAACUCUAGCCAUGGGUAUUGUUAUUGAUUGGGCUCCAAAAGGACAUUAUUGGCAAGAUUGCUCCAGCAAAAAUACCUUAUGCUCGGAGUUUAUUUAUUCCUUAGAUUAUAUAGAGCAUGGGUGGCAGUCUUACACGAUGAGACAACGGGUGUCUCCUUACCCAUUUAAAUGGAUGGACACAGGUAUUGCUCCUCCUAGACCAAAAAUUAUUCAUCCCUUUUUUACCCCAGAACAUCCUGAACUAUGGAAAUUAGCUGCAGCUUUGUCGGGAAUAAAGAUAUGGAACACUACCUAUCAGCUCCUUCGUACUAAAACCAAAACACCCACAUUCAACAUCACCCUUAUUUCUGAAUGGGUGAUACCCAUUAGGAGCUGUGUCAAACCCCCUUACAUGCUGUUGGUUGGAAAUAUAAUUAUGAUGCCUGAUGCACAAACUAUAGAAUGUCAUAACUGUAAGCUGUUCACUUGCAUUGAUGCAACUUUUAAUCCCACUACAAGUAUUCUCUUGGUAAGGGCUAGGGAGGGGGUAUGGAUACCAGUUUCUCUACAUCGUCCAUGGGAGUCUUCCCCCUCUAUUCACAUAGUCAAUGAAGUUCUUAAAGACAUCCUCAAAAGAACAAAGAGAUUUAUUUUUACUCUUAUUGCAGUCCUUGCAGGACUACUUGCGGUUACUGCAACAGCAGCAACUGCUGGAGUUGCCAUCCGCAGUUCUGUUCAAACUGCUCACUAUGUUGAAGCAUGCCAGAAAAAUUCCUCCAGACUUUGGAAUUCUCAGGCGCAAAUUGAUCAAAAAUUAGCUAAUCAGAUUAAUGAUCUCCGCCAAAGUGUAACCUGGCUGGGAGAUAGAGUUAUGAACUUGCAACACCGUAUGCAAUUACAGUGUGAUUGGAAUACUUCUGAUUAUUGCAUAACGCCUUAUGCUUAUAAUCAAGAUCAACAUAGCUGGGAAAAUGUCUCAAGACAUUUAAAAGCCUGGGAUGAUAACUUAACCUUGGAUAUUUCACAACUUAAAGAGCAAAUCUUUGAGGCUUCACAAGCCCAUUUAUCCACAGUUCCUGGCUCACACAUUUUUGAAGGCAUAACUAAACAAUUACCUGAUUUUAAUCCCUUCAAAUGGCUCAAACCCGUCAGAGGAUCAUUGUUGUUACUGGCAUUAUUAAUAUUGGUAUGCUUAUGUUGUCUCCUUUUAGUCUGCAGAUGCCUCUAAGGAGUCCGAAACCAAGUCCGAAGUCAACAACAAGCAAUGAUGGCGAUGGCGAUUCUAGUUAAUAAAAAGGGGGGAGAUGUGGGCGGCAAGCCACCCAGGCACCGAGGCAAGAGACAGAGGACACGAGCUGUUCCAGUAUAAUAAAAUAUAAAACAAGAAUAGUUAUACCA
ensembl:lncRNA ERVK13-1 endogenous retrovirus group K13 member 1